rnacentral:tRNA from 1 species
GGGGAUGUGACUCAGUGGUAGAGUGCUUGCUGGGCGCAUGAGGCCCUGGGUCCCAUCCCCAGCACUACAA